rnacentral:lncRNA from 1 species
GGGGAAAGUGUUACAUUAUGAUCCUGAUACACAACCUUCACUCAGCCUCCCCCAGUGGUGGUGUGUUUCAAAAACAAUAGAACAUUGUCAGAUACACAAUGGGGCAGUGCUGCAACUAAACACAGAAGUACUUGGAAGUGGAUUUCUAAUGCUCUGGAACUGUCCGCCCAGCUAACUCUGUUCUCUUUCCCUCUGAAAGUUGUUGACCCCACCCCCUUCCACAUUCAAGCAGAGGUGACAAUGAAAACCAACUUUUUUGGUACCCAAGAUGUCUGCAAGGAGCUACUCCCUAUAAUAAAACCCCAAGGUGAGUCUGGCCCAGCUCCUCUCCCUCUCUGCACCUGCUCUCUGCCACUUGGAGGUGUGGCUCUGCUCCUUGGGGUCUGAUCUUUUGUAGCCAUUGUCGCUAUCUUUGCAUACCCAGCUCUUCUUUAACCUUUCAGUAUGAUUCCAAGGUCCCUUGGUUCCACCUCCUCACCCCUGAGGGGGUUUUAGGAUUCCAAUUAUCUCAAUACACUUCACAUACAUACUGACAUCACACUGCUCACAAUAGCCUGUCCCCACAAGUCCCCAGGUUGGACCCAAGUGCCUCCCUCAGCUCAGUCUCACAGCAGGUCUCAGCUGUCAAGCUGCACUCCUGCAAACCCUGAGGGGGCCUCCUUUCUGCAGCAGCCUUUUUUCCUGGGCUUCUACACCUCUUACAGAACCCUUCCCCUCCUAAAAAUCUUUUAGGAAAUAGAUCAGGUCUUUAGC